rnacentral:rRNA from 1 species
AAUUUUUUUAAAGCAACUAAGGGCGCAUGGUGGAUGCCUUGGGUCUGAGAGGCGAAGAAGGACGUGGUAAGCUGCGAUAAGCCGGGGGGAACUGCACACAAGUAUUAGAUCCCUGGAUUUCCGAAUGGGUCAACCCACGCAGAUGAAGUCUGCGUACUCUGUAAAGAGAGCCAACCUCCUGAACUGAAACAUCUAAGUAGGGAGAGGAAAAGAAAACAAUAGUGAUUCCCUGAGUAGUGGCGAGCGAAAUGGGAAUAGCCUAAACCGGGGCGGCGUGCCGCUCCGGGGUUGUAGGACUGCAUUUAGAAUAGGUCAUCAAGUUGAACCAUCUGGAAAGUUGGGCCAUAGCGGGUGAUAGCCCCGUAAGCGUACAUUGACCUGGACGAGCAGUAUCCUGAGUAAGGCGGGACCGGAGAAAUCCUGCCUGAAUCUGCCAGCACCAUCUGGUAAGGCUAAAUACUCCUCAGACACCGAUAGUGAACCAGUACCGU